CACACACACACACACACACACACACACACACACACACACACACACACACACACAACACACAACCCUUCUUAUGCAAAAUGUCUCCAUCUUUAUCACUGGAAAAUACGUAUUUACAGCGUUGUGCUGAAGUGCCCUUUGUCUCAUUCCCAUUCCUCUUGGUUUAUUUUUUGGAUGCGAUAGUCGUAUCCAAAGUGGUAGUGGCUGCAGGUACAAAACAUUUCCACGCAGUGGCUCACCGACACUGAACAGCUAAGCCAGACCCUUUUAGUAUUAACCCUGUACAGCCUGACACAUCAAAAAGUGGGCAUAGAAUUCAUCAGAAACUCGCAUAGCAAAUAUGAUACAAAUGAUUUUAUAGUGUUAACAAUGUACAAACAUUAAAUUGGAGUGCUGCUGCUACUGUUAACCCAGCCACUGUUUGUGGCUGUGGUGUGCAAUUUCUGCCAAAAUCAAGUGUGUCGGUAGCCACUGCCAUUUGAGAUAAACUCUCAUUCCUGUAGCCACAUCCUUAUUUUUAUCCUGUCACUUUCUAAAACUGAAAGUGACAGGAUGAGGCCAACAUUUAUUUAAUGGAUGUAUGAGCUGAGCUUCAUAUCCCAAAAGAGGAGCACAGCACCCCCUUCAGACUGGUGAUAAAGGGGUGGUUAUGGAAUAUCUUGGUGUUUACUUUGAAUUUGAGUAGAUAGUUAAUAAAGGUCCUAAAAUU